rnacentral:siRNA from 1 species
ACUGUGGGAAGUCAAACUGUGAC